GGACUACCCGGGUUUCUAAUCCUGUUUGAUCCCCACGCUGUCGUGCAUGAGCGUCAGUUACGGGCCAGUGAGCCGCCUUCGCCACCGGUGUUCUUCCCAAUAUCUACGAAUUUCACCUCUACACUGGGAAUUCCACUCACCUCUCCCGUACUCAAGCCACUCAGUCUCAAAGGCAAUUCCAGAGUUGAGCUCUGGGCUUUCACCCCUGACUUGAGAAGCCGCCUGCGCACGCUUUACGCCCAGUAAUUCCGAACAACGCUAGCCCCCUUCGUAUUACCGCGGCUGCUGGCAC
rnacentral:rRNA from 1 species